rnacentral:misc_RNA from 1 species
GAUGAAGAACGCAGCGAAAUGCGAUACGUAGUGUGAAUUGCAGAAUUCAGUGAAUCAUCGAAUCUUUGAACGCACAUUGCGCCCUUUGGUAUUCCAAAGGGCAUGCCUGUUCGAGCGUCAUUUGUACCCUCAAGCUUUGCUUGGUGUUGGGCGUCUUGUCUCCAGUCCGCUGGAGACUCGCCUUAAAGUCAUUGGCAGCCGGCCUACUGGUUUCGGAGCGCAGCACAAGUCGCACUCUUUUCCAGCCAAGGUCAGUGUCCAACAAGCCUUUUUUCAACUUUUGACCUCGGAUCAGGUAGGGAUACCCGCUGAACUUAAGCAUAUCAAUAAGCGGAGGA